rnacentral:snRNA from 1 species
AUACUUACCUGGCAGGGAAGAUACCAUGAUCAAGAAGGUGGUUUCCCAGGGCGAGGCUUAUCCAUUGCACUCCGGAUGUGCUGACCCCUGCGAUUUCCCCAAGUGUGGGGAAACUCGACUGCAUAAUUUGUGGUAGUGGGGGACUGCGUUCGCGCUUUCCCCUG